rnacentral:rRNA from 1 species
UACGAAGGGGGCUAGCGUUGUUCGGAUUUACUGGGCGUAAAGCGCACGUAGGCGGAUCGUUAAGUCAGGGGUGAAAUCCUGGAGCUCAACUCCAGAACUGCCUUUGAUACUGGCGAUCUUGAGUCCGGAAGAGGUGAGUGGAACUUCUAGUGUAGAGGUGGAAUUCGUAGAUAUUAGGAAGAACACCAGUGGCGAAGGCGGCUCACUGGUCCGGUACUGACGCUGAGGUGCGAAAGCGUGGGGAGCAAACAGG